rnacentral:rRNA from 1 species
GUAGGGAAUAUUGGGCAAUGGUCGGAAGACUGACCCAGCCAUGCCGCGUGCAGGAAGACGGCCCUCUGGGUUGUAAACUGCUUUUAUCUGGGAAGAAAAAGGCCAUGCGUGGCAAAUUGCCGGUACCAGAUGAAUAAGCACCGGCUAACUCCGUGCCAGCAGCCGCGGUAAUACGGAGGGUGCGAGCGUUGUCCGGAUUUAUUGGGUUUAAAGGGUGCGUAGGCGGCUGAUUAAGUCAGCGGUGAAAGACUUCGGCUUAACCGGAGCAGUGCCGUUGAUACUGGUUGGCUUGAGUGUCGGAGGGGUACAUGGAAUUGAUGGUGUAGCGGUGAAAUGCAUAGAUACCAUCAGGAACACCGAUAGCGAAGGCAUUGUACUGACCGACAACUGACGCUGAUGCACGAAAGUGUGGGGAUCGAACAGGAUUAGAAACCCCAGUAGUCC